rfam:Arabis alpina cultivar Pajares chromosome 7, whole genome shotgun sequence.
UUAUCAAUGAUGAGAAAGCUAACACGUAAGAAGAGGGACUCCUUUGUGGGGUGUUUCUUCAAUGAAAUACAUUUGUUACGCUUGGCUUCUGAGAUCU